UUCUUGGGGUUGUAGGACACUCUAUACGGAGUUACAAAAGAAAGUUAUAAAUGAAGCGGUCUGGAAAGGCCCGCCAAAGACGGUAACAGCCCGGUAGUUGAAAUGGCUUUCCCUCCAGAGUGGAUCCUGAGUACGGCGGAACACGUGAAAUUCCGUCGGAAUCCGGGAGGACCAUCUCCCAAGGCUAAAUACUCCCUAGUGACCGAUAGUGAACCAGUACCGUGAGGGAAAGGUGAAAAGCACCCCGGAAGGGGAGUGAAACAGUUCCUGAAACCGUGUGCCUACAAGUAGUUAGAGCCCGUUAAUGGGUGAUAGCGUGCCUUUUGUAGAAUGAACCGGCGAGUUACGAUUUGUUGCAAGGUUAAGCGGAAAAAGCGGAGCCGUAGCGAAAGCGAGUCUGAAUAGGGCGCAUAAGUAACAGGUCGUAGACCCGAAACCAGGUGAUCUACCCAUGUCCAGGAUGAAGGUAAGGUAAUACUUACUGGAGGUCCGAACCCACGCACGUUGAAAAGUGCGGGGAUGAGGUGUGGGUAGCGGAGAAAUUCCAAUCGAACUUGGAGAUAGCUGGUUCUCUCCGAAAUAGCUUUAGGGCUAGCCUCGAGGUAAAGAGUCAUGGAGGUAGAGCACUGUUUGGACUAGGGGCCCUUCUCGGGUUACCGAAUUCAGAUAAACUCCGAAUGCCAUGUACUUAUACUCGGGAGUCAGACUGCGAGUGAUAAGAUCCGUAGUCGAAAGGGAAACAGCCCAGACCACCAGUUAAGGUCCCCAAAUAUAUGUUAAGUGGAAAAGGAUGUGGGGUUGCUUAGACAACCAGGAUGUUGGCUUAGAAGCAGCCACCAUUGAAAGAGUGCGUAAUAGCUCACUGGUCGAGUGACCCCGCGCCGAAAAUGUACCGGGGCUAAACAUAUUACC
rnacentral:rRNA from 1 species